UACGAAGGUGGCAAGCGUUGUUCGGAUUUACUGGGCGUAAAGCGCACGUAGGCGGGCUGAUAAGUCAGGGGUGAAAUCCCGAGGCUCAACCUCGGAACUGCCUUUGAUACUGUUAGUCUUGAGAUCGGGAGAGGUGAGUGGAAUUCCUAGUGUAGAGGUGAAAUUCGUAGAUAUUAGGAAGAACACCAGUGGCGAAGGCGGCUCACUGGCCCGAUACUGACGCUGAGGUGCGAAAGCGUGGGGAGCAAACAGG
rnacentral:rRNA from 1 species